UCUUUACAUUCAUUGGGCAUA
rnacentral:piRNA from 1 species